GUGAUACGGUGCCGAUACACGG
rnacentral:siRNA from 1 species